UACGGGGGGGGCAAGCGUUGUUCGGAAUUACUGGGCGUAAAGGGCUUGUAGGUGGCCAACUAAGUCAGACGUGAAAUCCCUCGGCUUAACCGGGGAACUGCGUCUGAUACUGGAUGGCUUGAGUGUGGGAGAGGGAUGCGGAAUUCCAGGUGUAGCGGUGAAAUGCGUAGAUAUCUGGAGGAAUACCGGUGGCGAAGGCGGCAUCCUGGACCGACAUUGACGCUGAUGAGCGAAAGCUAGGGGAGCAAACGGG
rnacentral:rRNA from 1 species